rnacentral:rRNA from 1 species
UAGAGGGUGGUAGAAUUUCAGGUGUAGCGGUGAAAUGCGUAGAGAUCUGAAGGAAUACCGAUGGCGAAGGCAGCCACCUGGGUCAAUACUGACGCUCAUGUACGAAAGCGUGGGGAGCAAACGGGAUUAGAUACCCCGGUAGUCCACGCCGUAAACGAUGUCUACUAGGAGCUGGGGUCUUCGGACAACUUUUCCAAAGCUAACGCAUUAAGUAGACCGCCUGGGGAGUACGGCCGCAAGGUUAAAACUCAAAUGAAUUGACGGGGGCCCGCACAAGCGGUGGAGCAUGUGGUUUAAUUCGAAGCAACGCGCAGAACCUUACCUACGCUUGACAUGCCUGGACGACUCCGAGAGAUCGGUUUCUCCCUUCGGGGCCAGUGCACAGGUGCUGCAUGGCUGUCGUC